AGAAGUCCAGGGAGAAGGAAGCUGGCGGAGGUGAAGAGACCUACGAGAGUUCCUUGAGCUGGAGACGUCAGACCACAAGGGUUCACCAACGUCCGGGUGGGGUGAUUUCAAAAGGCACUUGGGAAUUCCAAAGAUACACAGGAAAUUGUUUGCACUGUGUGCCCCACGACAGGGGCUCCUCUGUCGAAUACUGAGUGGCGGGAGACAGGCGCAGAACGCACCCAAGCUGUGGGCAGUGAGCAUCAGCACCCCCAGUUUACAAGCACCCCCAGGCCACUGAGACUCAGAGAACAAGGAGCUUGCCCCAUACUAAGCGAAGGGCUUGCUGCACCCCAGUCCUGGAUCCUGCAGGAACUUCAGAAAGAAUUUGAGGGCUUUUCCUUCAUCAACAUUUUUAGAGCAUGUCCACCUCUUGGUGAUAACCUUGGGCCGGGGCAUUUUGUACUUGAAGGUGGAGGCUAAAUAACUAAGUUCCUAUCCUUGAGGACCUGUUGUCACCACAUGGGACAUUGAGCCUGAUGGAGUCCCUUGAUGGAAACCACGUGUGGACCCUGGGGACAGGCUUGCACAACCCAGGGAAGGACAGUCAAGGUUAUGAAAAUCAUUUUUGGCUCGGCGCCCCAGAAUGGAGUCUGGGGGCUCCCGCCUGACCUGAGCCCUCAGUAGCAUUUGAUCUAGGGCUGACCAUCCCGCCUCCGGUCUCUUUUCUCUGGACUGUCUGCCACCCCUGCCCCGGUUUCCCUCUGUCCUCGGGCCUCAAGCCCAGGAGAUGCCGGCUCCAAGUGGUACUUGGUCCGCCCUGUGGGGCUCUCCCAGAACCUUGAAGAAGGUGGCCUUGAAGUAUCCCAUCAGUGAGCAGGAGUCACCAGCUCAGCCCAGCCGUCUCUGCCUCAGCUCCCAACACGGAGACCCUGCGGCCUCUGCCCCCAAUGGGACACCUCCAAUUCAACAUGGCGGUCACAAUGGGGACUUCUUCCGCUCCCUCUGGACCUGCCCCUGUGACGACCCCCACACGUCACCCCCUCACUUCCCACAGGCCCUGCUCAGAGGGUGCCUGUCUCUGUUUCCAGUCCCAGCCAGCCAGCCCCCUCCCCACCCUGCCCAGGAGCCCCCAGACCCUGAGGCUCCCCUGCCAUUUUGUGUUGCAACCUCCCUUCCCAACUUCCUCAAUUUACCCCCUCCCUC